UUAAGCGACUAAGCGUACACGGUGGAUGCCCUGGCAGUCAGAGGCGAUGAAGGACGUGCUAAUCUGCGAAAAGCGUCGGUAAGGUGAUAUGAACCGUUAUAGCCGGCGAUGUCCGAAUGGGGAAACCCAGUGUGAUUCGUCACACUAUCGUUAACUGAAUACAUAGGUUAACGAGGCGAACCGGGGGAACUGAAACAUCUAAGUACCCCGAGGAAAAGAAAUCAACCGAGAUUCCCCCAGUAGCGGCGAGCGAACGGGGAGCAGCCCAGAGUCUGAAUCAGCUUGUGUGUUAGUGGAACGGUCUGGAAAGUCCGACGGUACAGGGUGAUAGUCCCGUACACCAAAAUGCACAGGCUGUGAACUCGAAGAGUAGGGCGGGACACGUGGUAUCCUGUCUGAAUAUGGGGGGACCAUCCUCCAAGGCUAAAUACUCCUGACUGACCGAUAGUGAACCAGUACCGUGAGGGAAAGGCGAAAAGAACCCCGGCGAGGGGAGUGAAAAAGAACCUGAAACCGUGUACGUACAAGCAGUGGGAGCACCUUCGGGUGUGACUGCGUACCUUUUGUAUAAUGGGUCAGCGACUUAUAUUCUGUAGCAAGGUUAACCGUAUAGGGGAGCCGCAGGGAAACCGAGUCUUAACUGGGCGUUAAGUUGCAGGGUAUAGACCCGAAACCCGGUGAUCUAGCCAUGGGCAGGUUGAAGGUUGGGUAACACUAACUGGAGGACCGAACCGACUAAUGUUGAAAAAUUAGCGGAUGACUUGUGGCUGGGGGUGAAAGGCCAAUCAAACCGGGAGAUAGCUGGUUCUCCCCGAAAGCUAUUUAGGUAGCGCCUCGUGAACUCAUCUUCGGGGGUAGAGCACUGUUUCGGCUAGGGGGUCAUCCCGACUUACCAACCCGAUGCAAACUACGAAUACCGAAGAAUGUUAUCACGGGAGACACACGGCGGGUGCUAACGUCCGUCGUGAAGAGGGAAACAACCCAGACCGCCAGCUAAGGUCCCAAAGUCAUGGUUAAGUGGGAAACGAUGUGGGAAGGCACAGACAGCCAGGAUGUUGGCUUAGAAGCAGCCAUCAUUUAAAGAAAGCGUAAUAGCUCACUGGUCGAGUCGGCCUGCGCGGAAGAUGUAACGGGGCUAAACCAUGCACCGAAGCUGCGGCAGCGACACUAUGUGUUGUUGGGUAGGGGAGCGUUCUGUAAGCCUGCGAAGGUGGCCUGUGAGGGUUGCUGGAGGUAUCAGAAGUGCGAAUGCUGACAUAAGUAACGAUAAAGCGGGUGAAAAGCCCGCUCGCCGGAAGACCAAGGGUUCCUGUCCAACGUUAAUCGGGGCAGGGUGAGUCGACCCCUAAGGCGAGGCCGAAAGGCGUAGUCGAUGGGAAACAGGUUAAUAUUCCUGUACUUGGUGUUACUGCGAAGGGGGGACGGAGAAGGCUAUGUUAGCCGGGCGACGGUUGUCCCGGUUUAAGCAUGUAGGCUGAUUAUCCAGGCAAAUCCGGAUAAUCAAGGCUGAGGUGUGAUGACGAGGCACUACGGUGCUGAAGUAACAAAUGCCCUGCUUCCAGGAAAAGCCUCUAAGCAUCAGGUAACAUCAAAUCGUACCCCAAACCGACACAGGUGGUCAGGUAGAGAAUACCAAGGCGCUUGAGAGAACUCGGGUGAAGGAACUAGGCAAAAUGGUGCCGUAACUUCGGGAGAAGGCACGCUGGUGUGUAGGUGAAGUCCCUGCGGAUGGAGCUGAGACCAGUCGAAGAUACCAGCUGGCUGCAACUGUUUAUUAAAAACACAGCACUGUGCAAACACGAAAGUGGACGUAUACGGUGUGACGCCUGCCCGGUGCCGGAAGGUUAAUUGAUGGGGUUAUCCGUAAGGAGAAGCUCUUGAUCGAAGCCCCGGUAAACGGCGGCCGUAACUAUAACGGUCCUAAGGUAGCGAAAUUCCUUGUCGGGUAAGUUCCGACCUGCACGAAUGGCGUAAUGAUGGCCAGGCUGUCUCCACCCGAGACUCAGUGAAAUUGAACUCGCUGUGAAGAUGCAGUGUACCCGCGGCAAGACGGAAAGACCCCGUGAACCUUUACUAUAGCUUGACACUGAACAUUGAGCCUUGAUGUGUAGGAUAGGUGGGAGGCUUUGAAGCGUGGACGCCAGUCUGCGUGGAGCCAACCUUGAAAUACCACCCUUUAAUGUUUGAUGUUCUAACGUUGGCCCCUUAUCGGGGUUGCGGACAGUGUCUGGUGGGUAGUUUGACUGGGGCGGUCUCCUCCCAAAGCGUAACGGAGGAGCACGAAGGUUAGCUAAUCCUGGUCGGACAUCAGGAGGUUAGUGCAAUGGCAUAAGCUAGCUUGACUGCGAGCGUGACGGCGCGAGCAGGUGCGAAAGCAGGUCAUAGUGAUCCGGUGGUUCUGAAUGGAAGGGCCAUCGCUCAACGGAUAAAAGGUACUCCGGGGAUAACAGGCUGAUACCGCCCAAGAGUUCAUAUCGACGGCGGUGUUUGGCACCUCGAUGUCGGCUCAUCACAUCCUGGGGCUGAAGUAGGUCCCAAGGGUAUGGCUGUUCGCCAUUUAAAGUGGUACGCGAGCUGGGUUUAGAACGUCGUGAGACAGUUCGGUCCCUAUCUGCCGUGGGCGCUGGAGAAUUGAGGGGGGCUGCUCCUAGUACGAGAGGACCGGAGUGGACGCAUCACUGGUGUUCGGGUUGUCAUGCCAAUGGCACUGCCCGGUAGCUAAAUGCGGAAGAGAUAAGUGCUGAAAGCAUCUAAGCACGAAACUUGCCCCGAGAUGAGUUCUCCCUGAGACUUUAAGUCUCCUGAAGGAACGUUGAAGACGACGACGUUGAUAGGCCGGGUGUGUAAGCGCAGCGAUGCGUUGAGCUAACCGGUACUAAUGAACCGUGAGGCUUAACCUU
rnacentral:rRNA from 1 species